UUUUGCCCCUGAUGGAAAUGGAAAGCCUUUUACAGCAAUGGCGCAUUUUUUAUAAACAAAAAAGAGCUUCCGUUGGUCGCUCUUUUUUGUUUUUAGAAAAAUAUAGUAGUGCAAAAAGCUUGUAAUGAAUAUCAGGAUUAGGC
rnacentral:sRNA from 1 species